AACGAACGCUGGCGGCAUGCCUAACACAUGCAAGUCGAACGAGACCUUCGGGUCUAGUGGCGCACGGGUUCGUAACGCGUGGGAACCUUCCCUUAGGUUCGGAAUAACUCCCCGAAAGGGGUGCUAAUACCGGAUAAUGUCUUCGGACCAAAGAUUUAUCGCCUUUGGAUGGGCCCGCGUUGGAUUAGCUAGUUGGUAGGGUAAAAGCCUACCAAGGCGACGAUCCAUAGCUGGUAUGAGAGGAUGAUCAGCCACACUGGGACUGAGACACGGCCCAGACUCUUACGGGAGGCAGGAGUGGGGAAUAUUGGACAAUGGGGGAAAGCAUGAUCCAGCAAUGACGGGUGAGUGAUGAAGGCAUUAGGGUUGUAAAGCUCUUUUACCCGGGAUGAUAAUGACAGUACCGGGAGAAUAAGCUACGGCUAACUACGUG
rnacentral:rRNA from 1 species